AUUUGGUUUAGGAUUUAGGGUUUGGUUUAGGAUUUAGAGUUUGGUUAAGAUGUCAUUUAGGAUUUGGUUAGGAUUUGGUUUAAAAUUUGGUUGGGAUUUGCUUUAAGGUUUGUUUAGGGUUUGGUUAGGAUUUGGAUAGAAUUUGGUUUAGGAUUUGAUUUAGGAUUUAGGAUUUGGUUUAGGAUUUAGGAUUUGAUUUAGGAUUUAGGAUUUUAUUAGGAUUUAUUUAGGAUUUAAGAUUUAAUUAGUUUUGGCCUAAUAUUUGAAUGAAGUUCAAUAGGAUUUUAACUAGAAUUAAAUUAAGAUUGAAUUGAGAUAUAUUUGACAGAUAUUUGUGAUCAUUCU
rnacentral:lncRNA from 1 species